rnacentral:rRNA from 1 species
UACGUAGGGGGCAAGCGUUGUCCGGAAUCAUUGGGCGUAAAGAGCGUGUAGGCGGCCAGAUAAGUCCGCUGUGAAAUCUCGAGGCUCAACUUCGAGCUGUCGGUGGAAACUGUCUGGCUAGAGUCCGGAAGAGGAGAAUGGAAUUCCUGGUGUAGCGGUGGAAUGCGCAGAUAUCAGGAAGAACACCAUGGCGAAGGCAGCUCGCUGGGACGUUACUGACGCUGAGACGCGAAAGCUAGGGGAGCAAACGGG